rnacentral:rRNA from 1 species
UACAGAGGGUGCAAGCGUUAAUCGGAUUUACUGGGCGUAAAGGGCGCGUAGGCGGCAAUUCAAGUCAUCUGUGAAAUCUCCGGGCUUAACUCGGAACGGUCAGAUGAUACUGCUUUGCUAGAGUGCAGAAGGGGCAAUCGGAAUUCUUGGUGUAGCGGUGAAAUGCGUAGAGUAUCAAGAGGAACACCUGAGGUGAAGACGGGUUGCUGGGCUGACACUGACGCUGAGGCGCGAAAGCCAGGGGAGCAAACGGG